rnacentral:tmRNA from 1 species
UGUGUUUGAAUCAGUCUCUGAAAGUUUUAUAUUAUUGAUGUUGGUUUUCCAACUAUAACGAUAAACGAAAUUCGUAAUAAACAUUUUGGACCAGGGGGCGGUACCCUGCACCUCCACCAUUGUACAACUCACGGGGGUGAAAUAGGCUCGACAGAUGUCUAAAGGCUUUUCUUUCGUUCAGUAUUGUUCCGCUGUGACGGGCUACAUUUUAAAUGCUAACGAAAGUUAUGCUAUUGCUGCUUAAUUAACUUCGGUUAAUUAAAUAGCAGGGGUCCGGGGCACCUUGCAACAGAACGCCCCACU